GACGUAGGGCGCGAGCGUUGUCCGGAUUUAUUGGGCGGAAAGAGCUCGUAGGCGGCUUGUCACGUCGGGUGUGAAAGCCCGGGGCUUAACCCCGGGUCUGCAUUCGAUACGGGCAGGCUAGAGUGUGGUAGGGGAGAUCGGAAUUCCUGGUGUAGCGGUGAAAUGCGCAGAUAUCAGGAGGAACACCGGUGGCGAAGGCGGAUCUCUGGGCCAUUACUGACGCUGAGGAGCGAAAGCGUGGGGAGCGAACAGG
rnacentral:rRNA from 1 species